rnacentral:lncRNA from 1 species
AUGGAUAUUGCGUGUGUUUGGGCAACAGAUCUGCAGCCACCUUCUACUGACUCACUGGGAAGGCACUGGAAACCAAUGGCCAGAGAGCCCAGGAAAGAGCUAUGGCCCGAAGACUAUAGGGUCAUCUGUUUCCCCCUGACAGUCUUGUUCCUUUCAGGUGGAGGAGGACCCAGGACAAUGGCUGCUGCUCAUGAUUUGGAGAUAGAGGAGGAUGUGACUCUGAAUAUGGAUAGAGAGAUGAAAGAAGAGCUGGAAGAGGAGAAAAUGAGAGAGGGCAGGGCAGAUAAAGACCCCUUCAAGCCUAGAAAGGUCCACAGGAUUGUCUCAAAAUGGAUGCUUCCUGAACCGGUGCGAAGAACAUACCUGGAAAGAGCUAACUGCCUCCCGCCCCCCGUGUUCAUCAUCUGCGUCAGCAUCGCCGAGCUGGCGGUAUUUAUUUACUAUGCUGUAUGGAAGCCUCAGAAACAGUGGAUCACCUUGGACACAGGCAUCUUGAAGAGUCCCUUUAUCUACCGUCCUGAGAAGCGGGAGGAAGCCUGGAGAUUUAUCUCGUACAUGCUGGUUCAUGCUGGAGUUCAGCACAUCCUGGGGAAUCUUAUUAUGCAGCUCAGUCUGGGCAUCCCCUUGGAAAUGGUCCACAAAGGCCUCCGAGUGGGGUUGGUGUACCUGGCAGGAGUGAUAGCAGGAUCCCUUGCCAGCUCCAUCUUUGACCCACUCAAAUCUCUUGUGGGUGCUUCAGGAGGAGUCUAUGCUCUGAUGGGAGGCUAUUUUAUGAAUGUUCUAGUGAAUUUUCAAGAAAUGAUUCCUGCUUUUGGAGUUGUCAGACUACUCAUCAUUAUUGUUAUAAUUGUGUUGGACAUGGGAUUUGCUCUCUACAGACGGUUCUUUGUUCCUGCAAAUGGUUCUCCGGUGAUAUUUGUGUCUUCACCAUCCCUGGUCUACAUGGGCCAUGCUUUGUACCGACUGAGAGUUCUGGAGAAGCAGAGGCAGAUGAAGAAGGCGCAACUGAGAGGUGAACUGGAGGAGGUAGAGCUUGAAACGCCUGGGGAUCGGAGGCGACUGGAGGAAGAACUGUGUCAGCUGGAGCAAAGGAAAGUAAAUAAAGUUCCACUCAGAGGAACCUUACUUUGCACUUACGUGAUACACAUUUUCACUCGCUCUGUGGUUGAAGUUGGGUUCAUGAUUGGACAGUAUCUUUUAUACGGAUUUCACUUAGAGCCUCUAUUUAAAUGCCACGGCCACCCAUGUCCAAAUACAAUUGAUUGUUUUGUCUCUAGACCCACAGAAAAGACGAUAUUCCUAUUAUUCAUGCAAUCCAUAGCGACUGUUUCACUUUUCUUAAAUGUUUUAGAAAUUUUCCACCUAGGUUUUAAAAAGAUUAAAAGAGGGCUUUGGGGACAAUAUAAAUUGAAGGAUGAACAUAAUGAAUUUUGUACGUCAAAACAAAACCUUGCCAAAUAUCAAAACACAUCUGCAAACUCACUGCAACGACUCUCUUCUGCACCUGAUUAUAGUCUGUUAGUGGACAAGGAAGCACACACAGCAGCGUAUCCUAGUUUAAAUCCCUCUGCAUUUCAGACAGAUCCUGAUAACCAUAUUGGAAAUGAUGACAAAAGCAUUUUGGAUGAACAGGAAACUCUGCUUUCUGAGAUGUGCACAUUUAGUACGGCCUGUGGUCAUCUUCAAAAUAUCAGCUCAAGUAAUAAAGACGACACUCAUAAACUAUCUGGAAAAGAAGUUAAUGGUAACCAGUUGAAGGGAAAAAGAGAAAUUUAUGGCAAAGACAGCAAAAGAAAUCAUUACUUUAAAGGUCACUGUUCUAGUCCAGGUGACGCUAUAGAGCUUAACAACCACAUGGGACAGUCACCGCAAACAGCUUUCUCUCUGCCAGCUAACUGCACCUGGAAACCGAAGUGGCCUCGUGCUACCCGGGGCCCCUCUGCAGAAAAUGAAAACCAGGCAUUACCUCCUAAAGGUAACCUCAAGGGCCAGCUCAGGGAGAGCACAACCAGAACCCUUCCUCCUUCACAGGGAGACUUUCAACCUCUUGACGUUCCAGACACUCCUGAUUCUUCGGGAGGGCUGUCCUUUGAAUCCAAGUUGGUCAGAACCUGCGGUAACCCUACUGCUUGUACUCCAAAUCAUUUAGUGUCACUGACAAACAACCUCAUUGGAAGGCGGGCUCCCACAGACCUUCAGAUCUGA